UGCCAUUCUAUAUGUUGUAUGUCAGGGUC
rnacentral:piRNA from 1 species